GUGGGGAAUAUUGGACAAUGGGCGAAAGCCUGAUCCAGCCAUGCCGCGUGUGUGAAGAAGGUCUUCGGAUUGUAAAGCACUUUAAGUUGGGAGGAAGGGCAGUAAGUUAAUACCUUGCUGUUUUGACGUUACCGACAGAAUAAGCACCGGCUAACUUCGUGCCAGCAGCCGCGGUAAUACGAAGGGUGCAAGCGUUAAUCGGAAUUACUGGGCGUAAAGCGCGCGUAGGUGGUUUUGUAAGUUGGAGGUGAAAUCCCCGGGCUCAACCUGGGAACUGACUCCAAAACUGCUGAGCUAGAGUACGGUAGAGAGUGGUGGAAUUUCCUGUGUAGCGGUGAAAUGCGUAGAUAUAGGAAGGAACACCAGUGGCGAAGGCGACCACCUGGACUGAUACUGACACUGAGGUGCGAAAGCGUGGGGAGCAAACAGGAUUAGAAACCCGGGUAGUCC
rnacentral:rRNA from 1 species